GAGUUUGAUCCUGGCUCAGAACGAACGCUGGCGGCAUGCCUAAUACAUGCAAGUCGAACAAGAUCUUCGGAUCUAGUGGCGCACGGGUGCGUAACCCGUGGGAAUCUGCCCUUGGGUUCGGAAUAACUUCUGGAAACGGAAGCUAAUACCGGAUGAUGACGUAAGUCCAAAGAUUUAUCGCCCAAGGAUGAGCCCGCGUAGGAUUAGCUAGUUGGUGAGGUAAAGGCUCACCAAGGCGACGAUCCUUAGCUGGUCUGAGAGGAUGAUCAGCCACACUGGGACUGAGACACGGCCCAGACUCCUACGGGAGGCAGCAGUAGGGAAUAUUGGACAAUGGGCGAAAGCCUGAUCCAGCAAUGCCGCGUGAGUGAUGAAGGCCUUAGGGUUGUAAAGCUCUUUUACCCGGGAUGAUAAUGACAGUACCGGGAGAAUAAGCUCCGGCUAACUCCGUGCCAGCAGCCGCGGUAAUACGGAGGGAGCUAGCGUUGUUCGGAAUUACUGGGCGUAAAGCGCACGUAGGCGGCUAUUCAAGUCAGAGGUAAAAGCCCGGGGCUCAACCCCGGAACUGCCUUUGAAACUAGAUAGCU
rnacentral:rRNA from 1 species